rnacentral:lncRNA from 1 species
GUAGAUAGGCCAAAGACUUCUUUCCUUCUUUUUAGUAUAUUAAAGUAUGACAGAAGUCAAAAUAAAUAAAAUACAGUAUUCAAGUGCCUGACGUCGUGGUGGCCUUUUUACUGCUUUAUAGUAUUUGCAGUUGCGAAAUAAUAAAAGAUCUGCAUGUGUGUGUGCUUGAAUACUGGAUCACGUUCCUUAACCACAACUAGAGCUAGGUCGGAGAGGGUAGUGUCGUAGUCUGGCACGUAGGUUAU